rnacentral:rRNA from 1 species
UACGUAGGGGGCUAGCGUUGUCCGGAAUCAUUGGGCGUAAAGCGCGUGUAGGCGGCCCGGUAAGUCCGCUGUGAAAGUCGGGGGCUCAACCCUCGAAAGCCGGUGGAUACUGUCGGGCUCGAGUGCGGAAGAGGCGAGUGGAAUUCCUGGUGUAGCGGUGAAAUGCGCAGAUAUCAGGAAGAACACCCGUGGCGAAGGCGGCUCUCUGGAACGCAACUGACGCUGAGACGCGAAAGCGUGGGGAGCAAACAGG